UUUCCGUAGGUGAACCUGCGGAAGGAUCAUUAAAAAAUUGGACUCCAUUGGUGAGUUCAUUAAUAAUCCCUACCCUUUGUGAAUUUGUUUGUUUGAAUAAUUUUUUUUCCAAAAAAAAAUUAUUGAAUGUCUUUCCCUGUUUUGGUGGAGCUUGUAAAGUGAAACCAGGCAGGGGAAUGGCAAACAAUAAUUAUUUUUUGAAAAAAGACCUUUUUUAAAAUUAAACUUUUUGUAUUCAUUUGUCUAAAAUUAUUUUUAUAAUAUAAAAACAACUUUUGACAAUGGAUCUCUUGGUUCUCGCAACGAUGAAGAACGCAGCAGAAUGCGAUAAGUAGUGUGAAUUGCAGAAUACGUGAAUCAUCGAAUCUUCGAACGCAUAUUGCACUUUUUUAGUUUACUAAAAAAGUAUGUCUGUUUGAGUAUCAGUAAAAUAUUCUCAUAAAAAAUUUAUUUUUUAUGGUUAUGAGUGUUUUACAGCGAUAACAAGUUGUUUCACUUUAAAUUCUUUGUUAUCAAAAAAUCAUUAAAAGCUAAUUUUAAAGAUUUUUAAAAUUGGAUAAAAUUUUCCCGUAAAAAGGAAUAACCUAAACAAUUUUAAAAAAUUAAAAUUGGUUUGAUUUUUCUUGAUUUAAAAAGGAAAAAAAAGUAAAAAUUAACUUGAUCUCAAAUCAGAUAAGAGUACCCGCUGAACUUAAGCAUAUCAAUAAGCGGAGGAAAAGAAACUAACUAGGGUUCCCUCAGUAACGGCGAGUGAAGCGGGAAGAGCUCAAAUUUGAAAUCUUCAAGGUUUUACCUUGACGAAUUGUAGUUUAAAGAAGUGUUUUCUGUUGGAGUUUUGGUAAAAGUUCUUUGGAAAAGGACAUCAUAGAGGGUGAGAAUCCCGUAUUUGACCAUUAUCUCCAGCUUUGUGAUACACUUUCAAAGAGUCGGAUUGUUUGGGAAUGCAGUCCAAAAUGGGUGGUAAAUUUCAUCUAAAGCUAAAUACUGGCGAGAGACCGAUAGCGAACAAGUACCGUGAGGGAAAGAUGAAAAGAACUUUGAAAAGAGAGUUAAACAGUACGUGAAAUUGUCAAAAGGGAAGCGUUUGACACCAGUGUUGUUUUCUCGAAAAUCAAUUAAAAAAGGCCGGAUUUUGUGUUGUAAUUGACUUUAUCAGCUUUCUGCACUUUUUUCUUGUCUUUUUUAAUGCACUUUUCGUUUAACAAGUCAACAUCAAUUUCUUUUGUUGUAAAAGGGUCGUUGGAAGGUGGCUUUCUUUUCGGAGAAAGCGUUUAUAGCCUUUGGCCUCUGCAAUCGGAGAGAUUGAGGUCUGCAGCGUAGAUCCUUCGGGGUUAGAUACAUUUGUGCUAAGUUAUAGCCUUUCAUGGACAACUUGUUGACUAUGAUCAGUCAUGUAGCUUACUCGCUUAUGCUAUUUUACCUACGCUUAGGAUGUUGAA
rnacentral:misc_RNA from 1 species